UACGGAGGGUGCAAGCGUUGUUCGGAAUUACUGGGCGUAAAGCGCACGUAGGCGGGCUUGUAAGUCGAUUGUGAAAGCCCCGGGCUCAAUCCGGGAAUUGCAGUCGAAACUAUAAGUCUUGAAUGCUCUAGAGGGUGACGGAAUUCCUGGUGUAGAAGUGAAAUUCGUAGAUAUCAGGAGGAACACCGGAGGCGAAGGCGGUUGCCUGGAGAUGCAUUGACGCUGAGGUGCGAAAGCGUGGGGAGCAAACAGG
rnacentral:rRNA from 1 species